rnacentral:lncRNA from 1 species
CAACAAAAAGAUGGGUGGUUUAUUGAAGGUUUGGUCCAGACACUUAUAAAAAUACAAACUGGCAUGAAAUUCAACCACAUGGCAAGUCUAUCUUCACAGAAGACAAGUGAGUGACCCCCUGGGGAGGGCAAGGUGCUACCCCAGAGAAGAGGCCCACUGGGCACUGGGCACAGAUAGCAGGCCUGGGCUUCUUCCUUGCUCUGAUCCAGCAGUCGACCUGUCCCCAGAUCUUCGGCCUUGGCCCCCAGCAGGCUCAAGGACUCAGUCCCACAAAAUCCCAGUCUUCCUGGGGGAUGGCAUGACACCAUCAAAGCAGCUGAUAGAGACCCUAUGUUUGCCCUGCCUCUGCUCAAGAGAGCCCAGGGCUGUCUCCCCUGCAGCUCCUCUUUAGCCUGUGAGGAGGGAGUCGGUAUCUCUCAGGGUCACCUCAGACCCUCUGACUGCCCCCAUCACUCUUCCAUCUUGUCUGUCUGGCUUGGCAAUCCCAGCUCAGGUAGCAGGGGUCCCUCCUCCAGGGAAUCUUGGAAGGGCUCUGGCUCCUGGAGGUGGCAGGAAGGGUCGGCUUGGCUCAGAGAACUCGCAGGAGACGCAGAAUUGGGAGCAGCAGCAGCAGCAAGAGACAGAGGGGGCUGGGAGUGCCCCCCCCUUGCCACCCUGAUGUGCCACUCUCUCCAGGGCUCCCAACAGGAUGGGCUGACUCGGACUCUGUGAGGUGUAGGGGGUGGCACUGGUGAGUCCUCCAUUUCAGCAGCCUCCUUCCAGCCCUCCCCAUUAGCUGUUCACUACCAUCCCAUUCUCAGGGUCUCCCAAACCAGGCACUCCCUUCCUAUCCUCUAUCACCUCAUCCUCUUUAAGCCUCAACGUCCAAGUCUCCCCCAAAUUGCCACUAGAGACAAGGAGUUCAGCUCAGAUGUUGAAGGGCCUUGUUCCUGGAGAUGCCCUUCCCUCAGCCCAGCAUAAAGGGGUGCAGUGGAAGCUCCCACAAGGCUAAAUGGGGAAGAAGAGGCCAUGGC